GACGGAGGGGGCGAGCGUUGUCCGGAAUUACUGGGCGUAAGCGCAUGUAGGCGGUCGUGUACGGCGGCGGUGAAAGCUCCCGGCUCAACUGGGAGAGGCCCGUCGCAACGGCAUGACUCGAGGGUGGUAGAGGCAAAUGGAAUUCCCGGUGUAGCGGUGAAAUGCGUAGAGAUCGGGAGGAACACCCAUGGCGAAGGCAGUUUGCUGGGCCACGCCUGACGCUGAGAUGCGAAAGCCAGGGGAGCGAACGGG
rnacentral:rRNA from 1 species